rnacentral:sRNA from 1 species
CUUGCUGCUGCCUUUGAAAUAACUGUGCAGGGGCUGGGCGCAGUGGCUAACGCCUGUAAUCCCAGCACUUUGGGAGGCCGAGGUGGGCAGAUCACUUGAGCCCAGGAGUUUGAUAUCAGCUUGGCCAACAUGGUGGACCGGGUCAGCUACCUCCUGCAGGAGAUCUAUGGCAUCGAGAACAAGAACAACCAGGAGACCAAGCCCUCGGAUGACGAGAACAGCGACAACAGCAACGAGUGUGUGGUGUGCCUGUCCGACCUGCGGGACACGCUGAUCCUGCCCUGCCGCCACCUGUGCCUCUGUACCUCCUGCGCCGACACGCUGCGCUACCAGGCCAACAACUGCCCCAUCUGCCGGCUGCCGUUCCGGGCCCUCCUGCAGAUCCGGGCGGUGCGGAAGAAGCCAGGAGCCCUGUCCCCCGUGUCCUUCAGCCCCGUCCUGGCCCAGAGCCUGGAGCAUGAUGAGCACUCUUGUCCCUUUAAAAAAUCAAAGCCGCACCCCGCCUCCCUGGCCAGCAAGAAACCUAAAAGGGAAACAAACUCUGACAGCAUCCCACCUGGCUACGAGC